UACGUAGGGUGCGAGCGUUAAUCGGAAUUACUGGGCGUAAAGCGUGCGCAGGCGGUGUUGUAAGACAGUUGUGAAAUCCCCGGGCUCAACCUGGGAACUGCAUCUGUGACUGCAAUGCUGGAGUGCGGCAGAGGGGGAUGGAAUUCCGCGUGUAGCAGUGAAAUGCGUAGAUAUGCGGAGGAACACCGAUGGCGAAGGCAAUCCCCUGGGCCUGCACUGACGCUCAUGCACGAAAGCGUGGGGAGCAAACAGG
rnacentral:rRNA from 1 species